GUAAUAUUAGUUUAAUUGGCAAAAAUAACGUCUUGUGGCGACGAUGUUCAGAGUUCAAGUCUCUGAUUUUACC
rnacentral:tRNA from 1 species